rnacentral:lncRNA from 1 species
UGCACUAGUUCACUCAAUUAAUGUGAUACUUCUGCAAAAGAUAUUGUAAUAUACCAUUAUUUGACUCAAAAAUUUAUGAAUGGUAUUUCAAUAAUGCAAGGUCUAAAUUCCCCAUGCACCACAUCUAUCUCUAUCAAACUUUUCAUUCUUCCAUCUCAAUAUGCAAGGAAAUUCAAGUUCUCAUAAUUUAAGCUUCCAAAAUUCUGACUCAUCUCCUAUACAAAAUCCACGAUAUAAUCUGUAUCUUUAUCCACCAAAUUUUUCUAUUGGUUCGAAUGUGAUACCUCCGUAUUUCAUGCCCCAAUAUGAAAUGCCACCACAAUCUCAAUUUUUUUCUCCUCCAACACAACAUGCAUUUAACGAGCAAUCAUUUGGUUCUCUACCUUUCAACUCUCAACAUUUUGGUGCUCUCUUUUUCAACUCUCUGUCACACCCUAAUUCUCGAAGGAAUAAAUUUAAUUGAAGUGCGAAUAAUUCAUAGAAAUGAACAAGGGAAAAAUCUUGUUAAAACCGACAUAGGAUAGCAAGUCGGGCUAUGCCCCUUUGGAUUACAAGUUUUGUUUCAUGUUUCUGACAACCGACAUUCAUUAGCAUAAAACUGAAAAUUUCAAAUUGAAGCUUGACAUAAAGUCAUCUUAAAUUAAGAAAAAAAAAACGUAUAAUAGUUAUUGCUACAUCGAAAGUCUAAAUAGAAAUUGAACCCUAGCCUCAGCUCCGUCUCGUCAUCACCAGCCAGCCAACCUAAAAAUAUUUGAAAGUAUUUUUGGGCUAAAUACUAAUGUACUCAGUGGGCAAGCAUUUUCUAAAACAUUUUAUAUUUUCGUCAAGGCAGUUUAUCCAAUCAUACUUGACAUGACUUAAAAAGUUUUAAAAUAAAGAACUUCUAAGCAUGUUAAAAUAUUUUUUUCAUCUGUGCGCACAUGUCACACCCUAUUUCUGUUACUCGUUGUGAUCCCGGACCUUUUAGCCAUCGACGGAUCUCUGUCUCCUGCUUACUUGAACUGAAGGCGUAAUCCAGACAAGUUUACUUUGGCCUCGGGACGCUACUCAAGCUCGCCUUAUAUUUCUCAUACUCCAGAACACAUCAAGCCGAGCACCCUUAUAACGCCUCUGGCCAGUGCCCGAUGGAGAUCAACCCACCAGGUCAACUAGCAUGUGUACAUGAUUCUCAGACAACGUGUUAGGUCAUAAGAGAACCUCAAUUGAUUAACUUUGCGAGCCUUAAUCAGAGUAGAGUGCACAUAAACAUUUUAUUGGAUAAUCAGUUUGCAUUUCAUUGAAACAUUUAGAGCUUAAUAACUCAAUCAUACUUUAUACAUUUGGAACGUAAACCCACCUGCAUAAGCAAAGCCUGUCGUUUAAACUUAACUUUGAAUCAAAAUAGCAAUCUUAAUCCUUCUGAUCCACGAUGCCUACAAGAAAUCUAUAAACUUAAUAGGUCUCCUAAAUCUAAUCUUAAGUCAUGGUGAAGUGCUUAACAUUCUACGAUCCACUUAGCCGGGUCUUCAAAAUUUAAUAAAUAAAUAAUUGAAAAUUAAAAUCCUUGAGUCAAGGACACCAACAAUAUCCUUAACUCAAUUUUUUUUAAUAAUUGAAUUUAUAAAUAAACUCAAUUAAAUCAUAAAUGCUUUCUAUUGCAUAAUGCAAAUGCAAAUUCAUUUCAUGCUUAAACAUAUGAUAAGUAAUGACUUAAAAUGUGGACAUAAUAAUAUAAUAUCAUUAUACAAGUUACUCUUUAAAAUAAUUAAUUAAGCUAAUUGAUAGUUCAAUUAAUUAAGUUAUGGGAGCCCAUUUAAAAAAUUAUACUAACAGGGCCCAAGCAUUUUAAAAAUAAAAAGGGCCCGGAUUCUAUUUAUUAAAUCAGCUCAUUUUAAAAGAAUAAAAACGCAGCCCACAUUAAAAUAAAAUGGCCCAACAUAGAAGCCCAAACCUAAAUCUAUAUUCUUCUUCCCUUCUUUCAAACACACGCACACACCCACACCCACACCCGGUAACACACUCACACACAGACCUGUCUCUCUCUCUCUCUCUCUCGGCUCAAUCACACGACUCACACUCACACUCACACCAGACACGGCGCAGCGGCGCCUCCCUUCCGGCGACGAGCGCCACCGCUUCUUUUUCGACCUCCGACGAACAGCGGCCCUCCCUCUCGUCUUUACUUAGUAGUCGACGGCAGCAGCAGCAAAAGCCGACCACCGCCGCCUCAUCCCUCAUCUCCCUCUCGGCUCAUUUCUCAGACCGGAUACCCCAGCAACCCCCUCCUCCUUGGCAACGGCGGCCGCCGUGGCCUCCGUCACCUCCCUCGAUCUCUCUGUCAGAACCCACGCCUCACACCGUCCGCGUCGUCUCCUUCCUUGGAGACGGCGAGAGCGCCGCCUCCUCUCUCUCUGCUCUCUUUCCUAUUCCAGCGACAGACUCAACUUAAACAGCAACGACACCCUCCCGACUCGGUUCACUAAAGUUCGAAGAUGAAGAGCAAAAUCAGAGUUCAAGACUCGACCUUUCUUUCUUCUUUUUCUUUAAGACAGACAUGCUUCAUGUAUAUAAAAAUAUAUGAAUAGAUGGUAUGCACAUGAAUGAAAUCUUUAAAUGUCAUUUGUUUCAAAAACUUGGAACACAAAAUAUGAAUUUGAGGUGCUAACCGUGAAUAGAGAUAAAAUGGGCAGAGGGGUUUGUAGACGAAGCCUUUGGUUUGAUGAACUUGGCAAAUGUUUGGCUUGGUUAGCUGUUGUAUACUGGACCUUCGUGAAUCAGGCUAUAUAAGAAUUCAGAUAUUGUUUCCAUCAAAAAUUGCCAUAGGAAUUAAGAGGAAACAAAGGAAUUUCAAAGCUGAAACUUACAGGUGUAGUUGGCAGAACGCUUGGGAGAGAGAUGGGAGAUGCUGAAAGUUGUAAAGAAAUGCUAAGGUGAUAGAUAUGGCUUCAAAGUGUAUCUAGAUGUGGCACUAAGAUGGGGAUUUGACAUGCCUGCAAAGGCAUGGCUAAAACACUUUUGGGGUUGCUUGAAAGGACAAGGUAUGGUGUUGGCCCGCUGCUAGGAACACAGGUUAGGCCAUCCACUAUGGUUAAAAAAAAAUGGGUAGUUGCUGACAUGGAAAGGAGAGAACCAUGGUGGGCGUGAGUAUUUGGGGUAGCAAAAUGGGAAA